rnacentral:sRNA from 1 species
UUAUUGAACGUAUAUUUGCUUCCUUACAGGUUUGUGGGUGCUUCUAAUGAACUCUACUGAAACGGAAUACCUCACGUAGACUUUGACCGAAGACAUGCCCGGUGGACACUAGGGCGGUCUGAGACCGGUGUCUAGGAGCACAACGAUCCCUUCUGUCGGACUACGGUGAGAUAUUCUUGGUCUAUUGCUGUUUUAACUAAUGGAUGGUUUGGUAAACUAACCCUAAAUUAAAGCUAUUAGUUACGUAGUACACUACUAUCUAAACUAAGACUAUAAAUUAGGGCCGCCUAACGAAAAGGUAUGCUAGCUAGGAGUCCUCCGUUCAAAUACCAAGGAGCUUGACGGCUGUGAAACUUUGUCGGGUCCGGAAACUCCUGGUCUCUCGCAUGAAAACCUCCUAGCCAACACUUAUCUAUUUCCUCUAAAAGCAAACUAUUGCAGCAGAUAUUGGACUUUACAUUAAGAUCAAGGAAAAAGUAAUCAAUAUAUCAACACAAAAUUUCACAGGAAUCAUUUAAUUUUACUACGAACAUUAAAAUUAGCAAAGAAUUACAUUCGAUCUCAGUCGAAUCUAAUGGCCUAUAGGUCUUCUUCUUUUGGGGCUCCUGCCGCCGAGUAAGUUAAGCUGUGCCCACAGUGACAGCUUACUCCGUCUGUCCGGCUAUGUCCGUCCGAAUAUUAUAAAGUUCAAGGCCUUUACCACGCCCAAAAGGACGGCAUCUUCAGGGUACUGUUUUGGAACAAAAAUCCCUAUGGAGACUCCCUACCUGCCUAGAGAGAGCUCUAUCUAUUUGGGAAGGGUAAAUACCAUAUAAUAAUGUCGAUGGUAUAAUCAAAGAUAAGUAUCCUUAAAGAAAAAUGCCUGCCUAUUCCAAAAACUAAUUUCCUUUUUUCUCUUUUACUUUUAGAUAAUCUGUACGUCCGUCUGUCCAAAUGUUUAGUUUUAAGUUAAGGGUCUAUGUAAGCCGUCACCUGGAGCACUGCGGUCUGCGAGUACUGUCUGAAGGAGGUCCCACGCUGGUGCAGAGGAGAUGAGCCGUUGGUGUGCAGCGUUUUCUUUACUUUUAAUUAAAAUUUUCGUUUAGUUUAAGCUUUAGCCAGUAA